UACGUAGGGCGCAAGCGUUGUCCGGAAUUAUUGGGCGUAAAGAGCUCGUAGGCGGUCUGUUGCGUCCGCUGUGAAAACUCGGGGCUUAACCCCGAGCCUGCAGUGGAUACGGGCAGACUAGAGGUAGGUAGGGGAGAAUGGAAUUCCCGGUGUAGCGGUGAAAUGCGCAGAUAUCGGGAGGAACACCCGUGGCGAAGGCGGUUCUCUGGGCCUUACCUGACGCUGAGGAGCGAAAGCGUGGGGAGCGAACAGG
rnacentral:rRNA from 1 species